rnacentral:rRNA from 1 species
AUGGUAACAACACGAGAUGCUGGCUUAGCUAAGAAGUGUACUUUGGGACCUUCUUCUAUACCACGUAUCUACAAACAUCAACCCCUAGAAACAAAUGAUGCCAUAAAUUUGCUAUUGUGGAAGACUAGGAAAAGUGAGGAAGACAUGACAAAUGAUGAGAGCAUGAGGAAAAUAGUCACUAAGAUAGUGAAAAAGUCUGGAGGGUUACCCCUUCCUAUUCUUACAAUAGGAGGCAUGCUUGCCACCAAAGCGAUAGACCAGUGGCAAAUGAUUUAUGACCAAAUCCCCCUAGAGCUAGACAGCGACAAAAACCUUGAACCAAUGAAGAGGAUGGUUACACUGAGUUACAACCACUUGCCUUCUCAUCUUAAGUCAUGUUUUCUGUAUUUAAGCUUAUUUCCGGAGGAUUUUGAAAUCAAAAGGAGGCGUUUUGUGGAAAGAUGGAUAGCCGAGGGAUUCGUUAUCACCAUGGGUGGAUUGAGUGCUGAAGAUGUUGGGAAUAGUUACUUUCAUGAACUCAUCAACCGUAGUAUGAUUCAACCAAUAAAACUGAACUUAGAAGGAAAAGUGAAGAGCUGUCGAGUUCAUGAUAUUGUUCGUGAUGUCAUGAUCUCUAUCUGUAGAGAUGAAAAUUUUGCAUGCUCAAUAUGGAAUAAGUCAACUGGUGUAGCAGGAGAUAACUUCCGCCAUGUGGCAUACCAAGGUAGUUGGUGCCCAAAUAAAGGUUUGGAUUGGAGCCAUGUCCGAUCAUUGACUGUGUUUGGUGAGAGACCCAUGAAGCCGGCACCUUCACCUUUUUCACCUGACUUCAGGAUGCUUAGAGUAUUGGAUCUACAGGAUGCCCUGUUUGUGGUGACACAAAAGGAUAUCAGCACUAUAGGGUCGUUACGUCAUUUGAAAUAUGUCAACGCUCAAUUUUCUAACAUAUACAAGAUCCCAAGAUCCAUAGGGAAACUACAAGGCUUACAAACAUUGGACAUAAGAGAUGGUCAUGUUGCAUCCCUACCAACUGAGAUCACUAAACUACAAAGCCUUCGUAGCCUCCGAUGUAGCAAAGAAAAUGUGAAACGAGUUUUGUUGUCUUACCCGAGGAUUUGGUGUGUACCCACAUUAUGUCUGCCUGUUUUGUUUGCUACAUCUUCUGAUGAACUUCCUGAGAUUAUUAUGAUGUUUCACAUGGCCUGUACUGGUCGUUUGUCCAACUCUGAUGGUGUGAGGGUACCCAGAGGGAUCAGUAACCUAAGGGAGUUAGAGAUUCUUGAGAUUGUGGAUAUUGAGCGAACUAGCAAGAAAGCAGUUCAAGAGCUCGGAGAGCUUAUAAAGCUAAGAAAGUUAAGUGUCACACUAGGGGUGAACCAGAAAAAGCGUGAGAUACUUUGUGCAUCUCUUGAGAAGCUCUCUUCCCUCCGUUCUCUUGGCAUGGAUGCAACUUCUGCCAGAGAUGGUCUCAAGUGGUUGUAUUCUUUUUCCUCCUUCCCUACUCACUUUAAGACACUGAAUUUGUGUGGUAUUCUGGGGGAGAUUCCUGACUGGUUUGGCAACCUGGUACAUUUGGUGAAGAUUCACUUAAGGUUGAGCAAUCUGAUGGAAGGAGAUAAAAGCAUGAAAAUACUAGGUGCACUGCCCAAGCUCAGGCUCCUUCAUCUUGAUGAACAAUCUUAUGCUGGGAAGAAACUAGUUUUCAGAGCAGAAACAUUCCAAAAUCUCAGGCAACUUAAUAUUAUCUCUCUGGAGCAACUGAGGGAGUUGAUAUUCAAGGAGGGCACCUUGCCCUGGUUGGAAAAGAUAGAAAUCAGAUGGUGCAGUUUGGAAUCGGGGAUUACUGGUACCAAACACCUUCCAAGACUCAAGGAGAUUUGGCUUGAUUGGGGCGCCAAAGUGGCGAGGCUUGGUAUGCUGCAAAGUGAAGUGGAUGCACACCCCAACCUUCCAGUUCUGCGACUCAAGGAGGACCGGAGUGAGCAUGCCCUUAGUGACGUCGUCCAAGAAUCUGCGGAGGCUACAUCUUUCCAUGCCGAACCUCCGGCAGCGGGAGAGAGCUCCACCUGA